rnacentral:rRNA from 1 species
ACUCCUACGGGAGGCAGCAGUGGGGAAUAUUGCACAAUGGGCGCAAGCCUGAUGCAGCAACGCCGCGUGAGCGAUGAAGGCCUUCGGGUCGUAAAGCUCUGUCCUCAAGGAAGAAUAAAUGACGGUACUUGAGGAGGAAGCCCCGGCUAACUACGUGCCAGCAGCCGCGGUAAUACGUAGGGGGCAAGCGUUAUCCGGAAUCACUGGGGCGUAAAGGGGUGCGUAGGCGGUUUUUCAAGUCAGAAGUGAAAGGCUAUGGCUCAACCAUAGUAAGCUUUUGAAACUGUUAAACUUGAGUGCAGGAGAGGAAAGUGGAAUUCCUAGUGUAGAGGUGAAAUUCGUAGAUAUUAGGAGGAACACCAGUGGCGAAGGCGACUUUCUGGACUGUAACUGACGCUGAGGCACGAAAGCGUGGGGAGCGAACAGGAUUAGAUACCCUGGUAGCACAGAG